rnacentral:tRNA from 1 species
AGGGGUAUAGUUAAAUAUAACGUUUGGUCUGCAUUCAAAAAGUAUUGAAAUUUCAAUUACCCUUA